UGAGUGGCUAAUUGAACUCCCUAUUUGGAGACGCAAAACUCUUCUUUGAAGUGCUUAAAAAUCUCAUAAUUCACUAGUAUUAUUCAGCAAGAAAAAAGCAAUUAGGUCCAUUUUCUUGGCCAAGACAAUUCAUGAUCAAGUUUCCUGAAUUACUCUUCAUUUUUAUCACGUCGAGACUCUAAGUUAUGUUUCUAAUUCCAUACCAAACUUCGUUUUCUUGGUCAAGCUUUCAUCCGCUCACAGAAUUCUCUCUUUCUUUGUCUUUCUUUCUUGAUGCAACAGUAAGGUUUGACUAUGAGUUCUGAAUUGUAGUUGUAGAAACAGCUUCUAUGAAAAGCAGGGGAUGACCCUGUAAAAUAGUCAACCUUUUUCCUUUGAAGUGGUUAAAAAUCUCAUAAUUCACUGAUAUCAUUCAGCAAGAAAAAAGCAGUUAGGUCCACUUUCUUGGCAAAGACAAUUCAUGAUCAAGUUUCCUGAAUUACUCUUCAUUUUAAUCACGUCGAGACUUAAGGUUUGACUAUGAGUUCUGAAUUGUAGUUGUAGAAACAGCUUCUUUGAAAAGCAGGGGAUGAACCUGUAAAAUAUUCAACCUUUUCUGUGAAA